AGGACGAACGCUGGCGGCGUGCUUAACACAUGCAAGUCGAGCGGAAAGGCCCUUCGGGGUACUCGAGCGGCGAACGGGUGAGUAACACGUGAGUAAUCUGCCCCUAGCUCUGGGAUAGCUCCGGGAAACCGGGAUUAAUAGCAGAUACGACCACUUUAGACAUCUGUUGUGGUGGAAAGAAUUUUGGCUAGGGAUGAGCUCGCGGCCUAUCAGCUUGUUGGUGAGGUAACGGCUCACCAAGGCGACGACGGGUAGCCGGCCUGAGAGGGCGACCGGCCACACUGGGACUGAGACACGGCCCAGACUCCUACGGGAGGCAGCAGUGGGGAAUAUUGCGCAAUGGGCGAAAGCCUGACGCAGCGACGCCGCGUGGGGGAUGAAGGCCUUCGGGUUGUAACCCUUUCAGCAGGACGAAGCGAAAGUGACGGUACCUGCAGAAGAAGCGCCGGCUAACUACGCGCCAGCAGCCGC
rnacentral:rRNA from 1 species